UUGUGUAAAGGUUAGGUUGGGUUAGAAUAAAUUUAGGUUAGGUCAAAGUUAAGUCAAGUUCAUAGUUAUGUAGGUUUGCUUUCAGUUAAGGUCAGUGUUAGGAUUAUGCCAGGGUUAGGGUCAGAUAAAGGUUAGGGUUAGGUUAAAUUUAGGUUAUGUUUAGGGUAAAGUUAAGGUUUGUUCGUACAGGAU